rnacentral:rRNA from 1 species
UACGUAGGCAGCGAGCGUUGUUCGGAAUUACUGGGCGUAAAGAGUGUGUAGGCGGUGCUCUAAGUUCGGUGUGAAAUCUCCUGGCUCAACUGGGAGGGUGCGCCGGAAACUGGAGUGCUUGAGCGUGGGAGAGGAAAGCGGAAUUCCUGGUGUAGCGGUGAAAUGCGUAGAUAUCAGGAGGAACACCGGUGGUGUAGACGGCUGACUGGACCACGACUGACGCUGAGGCACGAAAGCGUGGGUAGCAAACAGG